AUUGAACGCUGGCGGCAUGCCUUACACAUGCAAGUCGAACGGCAGCACGGGUGCUUGCACCUGGUGGCGAGUGGCGAACGGGUGAGUAAUACAUCGGAACAUGUCCUGUAGUGGGGGAUAGCCCGGCGAAAGCCGGAUUAAUACCGCAUACGAUCCACGGAUGAAAGAGGGGGGCCUUCGGGCCUCGCGCUAUAGGGUUGGCCGAUGGCUGAUUAGCUAGUUGGUGGGGUAAAGGCCUACCAAGGCGACGAUCAGUAGCUGGUCUGAGAGGACGACCAGCCACACUGGGACUGAGACACGGCCCCGACUCCUACGGGAGGCAGCAGUGGGGAAUUUUGGACAAUGGGCGAAAGCCUGAUCCAGCAAUGCCGCGUGUGUGAAGAAGGCCUUCGGGUUGUAAAGCACUUUUGUCCGGAAAGAAAUCCUUGGCUCUAAUACAGUCGGGGGAUGACGGUACCGGAAGAAUAAGCACCGGCUAACUACGUG
rnacentral:rRNA from 1 species